GAUGAACGCUAGCGACAGGCUUAACACAUGCAAGUCGAGGGGCAGCAUAGAAGUAGCAAUACUUUGGUGGCGACCGGCGCACGGGUGAGUAACGCGUAUGCAACCUACCCGGUACAGGGGGAUAGCCCGGAGAAAUUCGGAUUAAUACCCCAUAAUGAUAUAUAUAGGCAUCUUUAUAUAUUUAAAGCUACGGCGGUACCGGAUGGGCAUGCGUAAGAUUAGCUAGUUGGUAGGGUAACAGCCUACCAAGGCUCCGAUCUUUAGGGGUCCUGAGAGGGUGAUCCCCCACACUGGUACUGAGACACGGACCAGACUCCUACGGGAGGCAGCAGUGAGGAAUAUUGGUCAAUGGGCGCAAGCCUGAACCAGCCAUCCCGCGUGAAGGAAGAAUGCGCUAUGCGUUGUAAACUUCUUUUCCGGAGGAAUAAAAUUUUGUACGAGUACAGGACUGAAGGUACUCCGGGAAUAAGCAUCGGCUAACUCCGUGCCAGCAGCCGCAGUAACAC
rnacentral:rRNA from 1 species